UAGAAUUACUACGGUUAUCCGAGUAGCAGGUACCAUCAAACAAACUAUAACUGAUUUAAUGAGCCAUUCGCAGUUUCACAGUCUGAAUUAGUUCAUACUUACACAUGCAUGGCUUAAUCUUUGAGACAAGCAUAUGACUACUGGCAGGAUCAACCAGGUUGCUAUAGACGUAUCUGACACUAGCUUACAGACUGGAAGUAAAUUCCGGUCAGUUCACCAGUAACAUGUGAUGCGAAUAAUUGCUUAAUCGUAAUGGCAAAUACCAAUACUUGAGAGUAUACGAGCUGUUCAAGAACAACUGUACCUCCGCGUGUUAAUUGCUCAUUGAUUUUACCCAAAGCUUAGCGGCCACAGCUUAGCAGGGUGGUGAUUAGACAACCCUGAAAGCAACGAACCGAGCUUAAUACGUGCGGUCUCCACAGAAAAGGUAAACUUAUCUGAGAUUCUCACACAAGCGGCUUCAAAGUUAAUUUUAAAACUAGGUUUACAAAUUCUCUUCUCAUUUCCAUUUGCGUUUGAUACCAUAUAGGUGCCCAAACGUCGACUAUUGACUGGCCGCGACAUUGCUGUAUGAUAAUAAUCACAUCGCGAUAAAGCGGCCAUCGCUUCCCCAAGUGUAUGUAGACACGAGCCACCUGCGUCUACGAAUAGUUGUGCACCUCUCUACG
rnacentral:rRNA from 1 species